UAGAAUUUUUGUUGUAGGUGUGAU
rnacentral:siRNA from 1 species